rnacentral:rRNA from 1 species
AUUGAACGCUGGCGGCAGGCUUAACACAUGCAAGUCGAGCGAGAGGCGGACGGGUGAGUAAUGUCUGGGAAACUGCCUGAUGGAGGGGGAUAACUACUGGAAAACGUAGCUAAUACCGCAUACCAUCAGAUGUGCCCAGAUGGGAUUAGCUAGUAGGUGGGGUAAUGGCGAACCUAGGCGACGAUCCCUAUCUGGUAUGAGAGGAUGAAAAGCCACACUGGAACUGAGACACGGUCCAGACUCCUACGGGAGGCAGCAGUGGGGAAUAUUGCACAAUGGGCGCAAGCCUGAUGCAGCCAUGCCGCGUGUGUGAAGAAGGCCUUCGGGUUGUAAAGCACGUUCAGCGAGGAGGCGUUACUCGCAGAAGAAGCACCGGCUAACUCCGUGCCAGCCGCCGCGGUAAUUC